AUACUUACCUGGCGCGGGGGAUACCGUGAUCAAGAAGGCGGUGCCUCCAGGACGAGGCUCUGUACAUUGCACUCCGUAUGGGCUGACUCCUGACUCCUGCGCUACCCCAAAUCGCGGGGUGGCUCGAGCGCAUAAUUUUUGGUAGUGAGGGACAAGCGUUCGUCGCGUGUGCGCCCUUU
rnacentral:snRNA from 1 species